AAAGACCCCGUGAACCUUUACUAUAGCUUGACACUGAACAUUGAGCCUUGAUGUGUAGGAUAGGUGGGAGGCUUUGAAGUGUGGACGCCAGUCUGCAUGGAGCCGACCUUGAAAUACCACCCUUUAAUGUUUGAUGUUCUAACGUGGACCCGUAAUCCGGGUUGCGGACAGUGUCUGGUGGGUAGUUUGACUGGGGCGGUCUCCUCCUAAAGAGUAACGGAGGAGCACGAAGGUUGGCUAAUCCUGGUCGGACAUCAGGAGGUUAGUGCAAUGGCAUAAGCCAGCUUGACUGCGAGCGUGACGGCGCGAGCAGGUGCGAAAGCAGGUCAUAGUGAUCCGGUGGUUCUGAAUGGAAGGGCCAUCGCUCAACGGAUAAAAGGUACUCCGGGGAUAACAGGCUGAUACCGCCCAAGAGUUCAUAUCGACGGCGGUGUUUGGCACCUCGAUGUCGGCUCAUCACAUCCUGGGGCUGAAGUAGGUCCCAAGGGUAUGGCUGUUCGCCAUUUAAAGUGGUACGCGAGCUGGGUUUAGAACGUCGUGAGACAGUUCGGUCCCUAUCUGCCGUGGGCGCUGGAGAACUGAGGGGGGCUGCUCCUAGUACGAGAGGACCGGAGUGGACGCAUCACUGGUGUUCGGGUUGUCAUGCCAAUGGCACUGCCCGGUAGCUAAAUGCGGAAGAGAUAAGUGCUGAAAGCAUCUAAGCACGAAACUUGCCCCGAGAUGAGUUCUCCCUGAGACUUAGAGUCUCCUGAAGGAACGUUGAAGACGACGACGUUGAUAGGCCGGGUGUGUAAGCGCAGCGAUGCGUUGAGCUAACCGGUACUAAUGAACCGUGAGGCUUAACCUUACAACGCCGAAG
rnacentral:rRNA from 1 species